ensembl:lncRNA
GACUCAGCCAAGUCAUAUGUGGGAACCCCAUCAAGGCCCUUCGUGCAAGGAGGCUAAAGCUAGGUGUAUGUUUUUCCUGUAUACUUCAUGUUCCUGCCUGGUCGCCCGCAUAAAUCUUAUGAUAAACUGAGUUUGCACUGUGGUUUGAGUGGCUCACUUUCUUCUAUGGACACAAAGCCCCACAUUCUUGUCAACCUACUAAUCAAAGCCCAAGUCAAAAUGACAAUAUUUGGUGGCAUUUCUACAAUAACUAUUUAGCAGAAGAUUUUUCAGCGGUUUGAUGUUGGCGUAGUCAACGAGAUGGUUGCUGUUGAUUAAGUAGAUACAAAGUGUGUUGCUCUCAAUGAUGGAGCGGUGCUGUGGCCAUACAGGUCAGUUUGUUCAUGUCAGAGGGCCAGUAACUGAGUGAGAGAACACCCAUAGGGUGUGCAGUCUGGCUUAUAGGGUUAGCUUCUAUGAUCCCUGAUGUUCAGUGUGGCGGAAGUUCCUGAGGUCAUCAAGGCUACUUGUGUCAUUUUUCAGCCACCUGCAGCGAGCUCCUUGAAACUGUGCAGUCUGAAGAUAGAAAACCCUGACAUCUCUGUAGGAGGAGGAGAUGUGAGCCAGGAAGAUGUCUUCUCUGCGCCGAGAGUGUGGAGAGAGCAGCAUAAGCGGCGGUGAGAGUGUGGGAGAAUUCUUGUUACGCAAUAGAGCAGGGAUUCGUUUUCUGCUGUAAGAUAAAACAAACUCUUUGGCCACCUGGUGGCAGUUCCGUGGGAUAGCCUUCUGCCUUCUCACCCUGCAGAUUGGGAUGGCUCAUCCCUGCUGGGAAGCCAGUGGGAUGGGGAAAGGACCGCUUUCAGAUGAUCAGACACAAUGUCUGAUCCUUUAGGAUGAUUCUGCAUAUCAGCAGGUGCCUGCACAUAGCUCAGCAAGAAAGUGUCAUCCCAGCAGGAAAAUUAGCUACAGAUGAUGAGGAAGAGGAUGAAGGCUGCAGCCCAGCCAGCAGCUGUGAGAGUGAGCUGAGGGACAUCUCAGAUGAGGAUCUCACUGAAGAGAUUUCACCUGAUUCUUCUUGCCACUCCUGUCUCUCACAGUCUUCCUCAGAUUCACUACAUGCUCAGGAAAGCAAAAACCACUGUCUAAUUCCGUAUCCUCCAAAAAGCCCUUCACCUGCAACUCUGAUGGGUUUUGCAGCAAGACCCCGGGAGCUGAGGAAGCACAGGGCAAGGUGCCUGAAGCUAACCAGCCCAGAGGAGGGCAGGCAGCCCCAGCAGUGCCAGGCACGGGUGACUCAAGAGACUUCAGCUCAGCUGCUGGGCAAGGGCCUUGCACUGCUGAACCUGCACAGCGCGCCAGCAGUACAGGAGUCUCUGCCCUUCAGCCCCCAAGGGCAGUGCCAGCCCGAUGGCAGCACUGCCAGGCAGAGGCCUAUCUCAGGACCUGCAGCUGUUGGAUCAGCAGGCACCAGGUAUGUGUACAGCCGGCACUACGCUCCAGGCACAGUGACUCCACCUCCUUUCUGGGCAGCCUCUUUUAAUGCUUCACCGUUCUUUCUAAGAAAUUUUUCCUAA